AACGAACGCUGGCGGCAGGCUUAACACAUGCAAGUCGAACGCAUCCUUCGGGGUGAGUGGCAGACGGGUGAGUAACGGGUGGGAACGUGCCCUUCAGUUCGGGAUAACCCAGGGAAACUUGGGCUAAUACCGGAUACGUGCGAGAGCAGAAAGAUUUAUCGCUGAAGGAUCGGCCCGCGUCUGAUUAGCUAGUUGGUGGGGUAAUGGCCCACCAAGGCGACGAUCAGUAGCUGGUCUGAGAGGAUGAUCAGCCACAUUGGGACUGAGGCACGGCCCAAACUCCUACGGGAGGCAGCAGUGGGGAAUAUUGGACAAUGGGCGCAAGCCUGAUCCAGCCAUGCCGCGUGAGUGAUGAAGGCCUUAGGGUUGUAAAGCUCUUUCGUCCGGGACGAUAAUGACGGUACCGGAAGAAGAAGCCCCGGCUAACUUCGUGCCAGCCGCCGCCGUAA
rnacentral:rRNA from 1 species